rnacentral:rRNA from 1 species
ACGUACACUCCUACGGGAGGCAGCAGUGGGGAAUAUUGGACAAUGGGCGCAAGCCUGAUCCAGCCAUGCCGCGUGAGUGAUGAAGGCCCUAGGGUUGUAAAGCUCUUUCACCGGUGAAGAUAAUGACGGUAACCGGAGAAGAAGCCCCGGCUAACUUCGUGCCAGCAGCCGCGGUAAUACGAAGGCGGCUAGCGUUGUUCGGAUUUACUGGGCGUAAAGCGCACGUAGGCGGACUAUUAAGUCAGGGGUGAAAUCCCGGGGCUCAACCCCGGAACUGCCUUUGAUACUGGUAGUCUUGAGUUCGAGAGAGGUGAGUGGAAUUCCGAGUGUAGAGGUGAAAUUCGUAGAUAUUCGGAGGAACACCAGUGGCGAAGGCGGCUCACUGGCUCGAUACUGACGCUGAGGUGCGAAAGCGUGGGGAGCAAACAGGAUUAGAUACCCCUGUAGUCCCA